AGAAGAGUAGAUCGCCCUCAAAGCGAACUGAGGAAAUGGGGAGUCAAUUUGACUGAAUGACUGAGCAUUACCAAAAGAUCUCUGGAAAACAGUUGGUAAGCCACCGUGGAAGGUAGAUUUCUUUUUAAAUGUCACAUUGACAGGCAUCUUGAAAUUAGUAUUCUGGACAUUACCUACUACGACCAGAUAUACCAGUGUUUUUCUCUUAAUUUGCACGUAAAGAUGAAUAAACUGCAAAAAGUUGUAGGAGGCUUGGUCAACUCAUUUGCCUUACAAGCUUAAAAUCAGAAAAUUUGGGAAGAUCACCUUCCAAAGAUAGGAUGACACCAAAGAGAACCUGAGAAUGAGAAUGGCAUUGAUCUGAGGUGGUCUGAAGUGGUCUGACGUGAGGAAGCCUUGUUCAUUGAACUGAGUACAGGGUAUAUUCAUUCCCAUGAUUUAUACCAAGCUAGGGAGCACUCGUUUAUACAAAAAGUAGGAAUAGUGGUAGAAGUUCAACAGGGAGUUAAAUGCCUAAAAAUAGGAAAAAGAAACACAUUUGAUGAUUAUCUAGAGACAGGAUUUACGGGUAAUGGUGCCACUUGUCAAGACCAUGACCAAUAGAAGACCUAGCGAGGCACAGAGUUAACUGAAGACACUGGGGUUUCUUUGACUGGGUAGUCAUCCUUAACCACGGGCUAAGCAAUCCAUUUUAGACAGACUGAAGAAAAGAGAGCAAUAGGUUAAGGUUGAUUUUCAUCAGUCAACGUCACUGAGACGCCUGGUGAGGGAUAAAUGAUGCAAGUGGAAGACAAGAGCCUAGGCCAGAUGAGAAAACUGCAGCAGGAUAUGGACAAAGGACCCAGCAGGAUACAGCCUGCUGAAUAGUUGCAAGAGCAGAAAUGAAGUUCAAGCCAUAGGCAGAGGGGCACGUUGGCCACCUGCAGAAAAGAUUACAAACCAGGAUCUGAAAUUAUUUGAGAGUCACUAGAUUGAGCAGUAGUUUCAGUAGGAAUGGAAUUUAAACAGCACUGAGAGAAAUGGUUGGCAUGAUGAUAUCUAAGCAUUAGGCAAUGUGAAAACACCUAAAAGAUGAGUGAGAGGGCUAUCUGCUCCUUACUGAUUCCAUACUGACUCCUCCACAGUCAGUCACAGGCUGUGUGUAGAAAGGUACACAUGCUCUGGAAAGUCAUCUCAGGUGUUCAGCAGCCACUCAGUUUGUCUACCCAGUUGCUCCUUGUCCUGGAUUGUCUUUCCCCUCGAUUCCCGCUCAUUUUGGUCCAGUACUUAUGCCCCUUCAAUAGAUGCCAGUGCUGGUGCUCAAUGGCUUAGAGAUACGACACUUAGUGGAUCUUCCCCAGUCUCCACUCUAGCACCAUCCCAACUUCUUCAACUCUCAGCUUGAGCAAAACUGGGACAUAUCUGCACUAAGUGAAGAAGGAAGGCGGUGUUAAUUGGUACAUUCCACAGGCCAAAAUUACUCACAUCAUCACUGAAAAACAGACUGCAUCUGGUUGUGUGUAUUUUUUGUUAUUUUCAAUCUUUUUGGGAACAAGUAGGUUAUAAAGAUUUCUCAUGAUCUAAACCAGGCCCUGCGCUGUUUUAUUUUUUUGUUAAUACCUGUCAAGUUUCAAGUAGGUACUACUCAGGGAGAGAGAGAGAGAAGUAUGGGAGGGAGGGAGGGAGGAAGGAAGGAGACAGAGACUAAGUGACUCCUACUAUCCGAGCUAACUUGGAGGGAGAGGCACCUUCUUUGUGGCCAUUUACCAUGAGCUGAGGAACAAAAUAGGAAUAAAUAUGAGACAGGUCAGAAUGAAGAAGCGGCAGCAGCAGAGGCCAGGCAGGAGCCAGCCGGGAAGAGGAUCUGUGUAUAUCAGACUAAAGUAUCAAUAACUACUCUGCAGGUGAAAUAAUUAUUGCCAGGAACAUGAGGCAAGACUUCAGCAUCUUGGUGCCUAUUACUUUCAUGAAUUCUCACAACUUCUUACUUCUACUCUCAACAUAGAAAUGAGAGCUGAGACAGUUGUCUGGGUGAUUCAAGGAAAAGGAAAAUAAAAUUCCAGUACCGCAAUAGACUAUACAUUAUAUCGGAGUUAGAGAUUUUUUUGACUUGCGUCCUUGAUUUCAAUGUUAUAUUCUGCAAUACAAGGACUAAAUUGAGCUUUGUUAUAACACAGGUGGUGUUAGUUUGUAAAAAUGUUGGUGUCAUUUUAAAUGAAAUGCUCCUGACGGCUCUGCCUUUCGCCACCUGGGAAUCAGCCCGAUCAAAGGAAAGGAGGCAUCUGCUCCUGACAUAAAUCUCCUUUCAGAAGUUCCCUUUCCAGUAAGUGUGGAUGGGUUAGAUGGUUUAACUGUAUCUGAAGGAAAGGUUUGGUGACUUCCUUUAAAAAUAUUCCAUAACGGUGGGAAAUUUAUACUAACUUAUAUUCAAACUUUUAAGUCACUGAUAAUGAUUACUAGGCUCUCACGAGCUUAUUCUUUUGGAAACUCGUCCAUUAAGAUGAUUAUAAAACUGAUUCUUAAAAGGCAUCAACUAUUUCAUGGUUAGUUAGUCUGUGUUUCUUAAAGUAAAACUCGAUAUAGAAAGAAAAGCAUCCUAUGUUAAAAGAUUAUCAAUCUUAUCUAUAAUAGUGAAAAACUAGACAUGAGCGGAUUAGUUAAACCAACAAUAGCACAUAUCUAAAAUAGAAUAUUACUCAACCAU